CCUACGGGGGACUGCAGUGAGGAAUAUUGGUCAAUGGACGAGAGUCUGAACCAGCCAAGUGGCGUGAAUGAUGACUGCCCUAUGGGUUGUAAACUUCUUUUAUAAAGGAAUAAAACUCGGCACGUGUGCCUUUUUGCAUGUACUUUAUGAAUAAGGAUCGGCUAACUCCGUGCCAGCAGCCGCGGUAAUCCGGAGGAUCCGAGCGUUGUCCGGAUUUGUUGGGUUUAAAGGGAGCGUAGAUGGGUUGUUAAGUCGGUUGUGAAAGUUUGCGGCUCAACCGUAAAAUUGCAAUUGAUACUGGUAGGCUUGAGUACAGUUGAGGUAAGCGGAAUUCGUGGUGUAGCGGUGAAAUGCUUAGAGAUCACGAAGAACCCCGAUUGCGAAGGCAGCUUACUAAACUGUGACUGACAUUGAUGCUCGAAAGUGUGGGUAUCAAACAGGAUUAGAUACCCUUGUAGUC
rnacentral:rRNA from 1 species